CAGUACCUGUUAGUGCCGAGUAUUUUGAAUUUAAAGUUUGAUAUUUUAUCGCUGGUCAAUAAUAUAUAACAUCAGAUUUAUUGAUUAUUAUUUAAAAUGUGUAAAUCAAAAGUAAUUUGGGGCCAAUAUUUAUUUUUCGUUAUUAUUUUUUUAUCCAUGUUAAAAGUAAUUCAAACAAAUCCACGAAUAUUUAAUGAGAUUGAACAAAAUAUGAAUGCAGAGGAGAUGUGUAUGCAUAAAGUAGAGCGCAUUCUAACUAAUUAUUGUCUGAGUCCAUCAGUAGAUUAUAUAGAGGAUAUUUACGACAUUAAUAAUUUUGAAUUGUUACGAAUUUGCUGUAAGAAAGCGUGCGGUCUAACGGAACUUCUAAUAUUUUGUUAGUUAUGAAUAUUUUUAAAAAUUUUAAAUUUUAAUAUCCACGAGGAAGCUUAUUUCAAAAAUGGAACAAAUGACCAGGAAAAAUUUUAUAAAAAUUCAUCAGAAUUAAAACACUGUAAUGUUAAAAAGUUAAAAAAAUUAAAAGAUGGUUUGAACCAUUAUUUCUUUUUAUUACAAUUUUUAAAAAUUUAUUAUUUAUGAAUUUUAAAUAUGAAAAUAAAGCCAUCCAUUUUUGAUAAAUUAACUAGCGUAUGUGGAAUAGGAAACUGAGUUUCAUGUUUCGUGGUUUUCUCAUCUACGAUAAAUAAAAGUAUCCGUAUUCACGAAGUACCACAAAACCACAUACGCCUAAUUUCAACACGGUGCGAAUAAAAUAUGUAAUUUAUUUUUUAUCAUAAUGUAUUUAUUUUUAAUUUAAUAUUUUUGUAUUAAUCACUUUAAAUUUACUGUUAAUUUAUUUAUUUAUAACAUGUUUUAUAUAUAUUUAUGAAUAUUGUAUUAAUAUAUAGACAAGUAAGCUAGUAAAUAAUUUUAAAAAAUACUUUGCGAUAAAUAGAACAUUAUUCUUAUCAUUAUUCAAAUUAUCUAUUCAAAUCAUUCUAGAAUUAGAUAAAUGAAUCGAAGGAUUUGGAAAAAUAUCAAAAAGUUAAAUUUUAAUUUAAACUGUUACAAAAUUUUCUUAAUAAAUAUGAUAUUUAUAAUAUUUAACAAUUAAAAAUUUUUUAUAAAAAAAUUUCAAAGAAAAUUCUUGUCAUUUUUCUGUAAUUAAAUAAUAAUUUUUAAUUCAUAUCGAACAUUAUUUACACGACAAUGUAUAUAAUUUAUUUUUAUCAGUUUAAUAAUACCUUGAAAUAAUUUAAUUUUUUAGAUUAAUUUAACUAUACAAAAAAAAAUUUUUUUUGGCUCAAGAAUUUUAUUCUCGCCUAAAAAAUUUUUAUCACCCCAAGAAAAUUUUUGUUUUCACUUUAUAAUACAAAAAAUUUCUGGGGUCAAGUAAAAAUUUUCUUAGAACAAGAAAAAAUUCUUGGCACUAAGAAAUCCUUCUUUUCUACGCAGAAACAAAGAUUUCUUGGCGGGAAAAUUCAUUUUCGAAUAAAAACAAAAAUUUCCUCACCUCAAAUAAAUUUUUCUUGUCUCAAGAAAAUUUUUUCUCACCCCAAGAAAAUUUUCAUUUUCAAUUCAUAAUACAAAAAAUUUCUCAGGGCAAGUAAAAAUUUUUUACGCCAAGAAAUCCUUUUUUUCUAUAAACAAAAUUUUUCAACGUAAUCAUGUCUAAUAGGAAAUUUUCAAUCAAAAAUAUUUUUAAUAUGAAAAUUUGAAGGUUUCAUUCGAAAUAAUUUUCUCAAUCGAAGAAAUCUAAGUCCCGUUAAAAAUAUGUGGAUCUUAUAUUUUUUCAAAAUUAUGUAAAUAAAUAAAUUUCUAUUUUUUUCUGCCAAAAAAAUUAAUCUUUAAGUAAGAAAUAAAUGAAUACUGAAAUAGUUUUUAUUAAUUUACUACUUCAGAAAAUAUUGUCUUUACAAAAGUUAUGUUUUUGUUGCUGUAAGUCUGCAUAAAUAUAGACAGAAAAAAAAUUUAUUGUAAAAACUGAUUUACGCAUGAAAAUGUUAAAAAAUAAAAACGUUCAUUUAAAUAUAUAAUAAAUAGCCGUCAAUAACUACAACUAAAGCUCGAACACAAAAUAUACGAAUUUAGUUUCAUAGCGAACUUCUCUAUAAAAUUAUUUUUUAUGAGACAUUCAUUAAUGUAAAAAUGUUUCACUAUAAAUAAAUUUACUCUCAAAAGAUA